rnacentral:rRNA from 1 species
UACGUAGGGGGGCAAGCGUUGUCCGGAUUUACUGGGCGUAAAGCGCACGUAGGCGGCUUUGUAAGUUAGAGGUGAAAGCCCAGGGCUUAACCCUGGAAUUGCCUUUAAGACUGCAUCGCUAGAAUCGUGGAGAGGUGAGUGGAAUUCCGAGUGUAGAGGUGAAAUUCGUAGAUAUUCGGAAGAACACCAGUGGCGAAGGCGACUCACUGGACACGUAUUGACGCUGAGGUGCGAAAGCGUGGGGAGCAAACAGG